rnacentral:lncRNA from 1 species
AAUAUGUCCUUUAAACCUGAAAACACAUAAAAGUAGCUUAAAAGACUACUUUAACGAAGAAAACAUAACAAAGAUGCAUAAGAACUAGCUAACUAAGGCGCAUAAAUAUGCUCCUAUCAAACAUGAAUGCGAUUUACUUAUCUAUUUGAUUGAUAACUUAUUCUUGUGUGUUGAUUAAGGAGGCCUACUUAGUUUGCAUGCUUGAAUCUGGUGCUAAAUUAUAAGGGACUUUCACCUAAUCGUUAGGAACUUUAUAUUACAAGUAGUGAGAUUGUUAGUCACAAUCGUUUAAGUAGAUUCUUGGCAAAAGUAUCAUGCAGUUCAUAGUUAUAAUUGCCUUGUCAAUGCUUAUGAUUUCCAUGGAAUUUAAUGAUCUUUAAAUGUAUCUCUAUCAUGUUGUUCAUAUAGGGAACUUGAGAAGAAUAAUUUGGGUUGUUGCAUGCAUUCAUCCAAUUCAAUGAAUUUAGGGAAAUCUGAUAGUUAAUUUGUGCAUUCAUGAUUAAUUCGGGGCAUUGUCGUUGAUAGGUGCAUAUUUAUGCGACUUAAUUAGCUUGUUUCCUUGCAUUUACGUUGCUAGUGAUAGGAGCAUAUUUAUGCGCCUUAGUUAGCUAGUUCUUAUGCAUUUCCAUGGUGUUUUCUUAGUUAAAGUAGUCUUUUAAGCUAGUUUUAUGUGUUUUCAGGUUUUAAGGCCAAAGGAUGCCAGAAGAUGCAUUUUGGAGCUUUUGGAGCAAAAUUGGGCUUGGAAUGAUUAUCACAU